AGGAUGAACGCUGGCGGCGUGCCUAACACAUGCAAGUCGAACGUUAGGGAAUAGCAAUAUUUCUGAAAGUGGCGGACGGGUGAGUAACACGUAGGUAACCUGCCGCGCAGAGGGGGAUAACGACUAGAAAUGGUCGCUAACACCGCAUGGUACUCGAAGAGGGGGACUUUUUCGGGUAAAACCUUGGUGCUGCGCGAGGGGCCUGCGUCCGAUUAGCUAGUUGGUGAGGUAAUGGCUCACCAAGGCGAUGAUCGGUAGCUGGUCUGAGAGGAUGAUCAGUCACACGGGAACUGAGACACGGUCCCGACUCCUACGGGGGGCAGCAGUGAGGAAUAUUGCACAAUGGACGCAAGUCUGAUGCAGCAACGCCGCGUGGAGGAUGAAGGCCCUUGGUCGUAAACUCCUUUUUUCAGGAGAGUGAGGACGUACUGAAGAAUAAGUCACGGCUAACUACGUGCCAGCAGCCGAC
rnacentral:rRNA from 1 species